UGGGGAAUAUUGCACAAUGGGCGCAAGCCUGAUGCAGCAACGCCGCGUGAGGGACGACGGCCUUCGGGUUGUAAACCUCUUUUAGUAGGGAAGAAGCGAAAGUGACGGUACCUGCAGAAAAAGCACCGGCUAACUGCGUGCCAGCAGCCGCGGUAAUACGUAGGGUGCGAGCGUUGUCCGGAAUUAUUGGGCGUAAAGAGCUCGUAGGCGGUCUGUCGCGUCUGCUGUGAAAACCCGAGGCUCAACCUCGGGCCUGCAGUGGGUACGGGCAGACUAGAGUGCGGUAGGGGAGAAUGGAAUUCCUGGUGUAGCGGUGGAAUGCGCAGAUAUCAGGAGGAACACCGAUGGCGAAGGCAGUUCUCUGGGCCGUAACUGACGCUGAGGAGCGAAAGCGUGGGGAGCGAACAGGAUUAGAUACCCUGGUAGUCCACGCCGUAAACGUUGGGCGCUAGAUGUGGGGACCAUUCCACGGUUUCCGUGUCGCAGCUAACGCAUUAAGCGCCCCGCCUGGGGAGUACGGCCGCAAGGCUAAAACUCAAAGGAAUUGACGGGGUCAUAGCUGUUUCCU
rnacentral:rRNA from 1 species